CCAAGCACCAGCAAUGAUCACAAAAUACACUAACACUGGGGAACACAGCCAGCUGGAGAAAUGCAGAACCGAAUAUUCUUCGUCUCUGACCAUCUGGCCAUGAGCUCCAUCUUAGAAAAGUUCCAGGGGCUAAUCUUGAGACAGACAAAGCCUGGAAAUCCAGCUGCAGAAUUCCAGCGAUUAACUCAAGGCAACUAGUCAACAACAUGGCCAUUGUUGAGAUGAUGCCAGCUCACGCUCCAGGUGGACUGAAAUCCAACAUAGCCAUCGAAACAAGACACACAGACCUGAGCUCAGCACAACUCCUGCAUGUCUCCCCUGUUAAGUCCCUUCUUUUUGAAACCUUGCCUUCUCCCCAGUAGUUCAAAGUGGUUGCUUUGGUUGGGAAUCUGGCCACCUCCCCAGUACUAGUUUUGGUUAAUAAAACCACUUUCCUUCUUCCAG
rnacentral:lncRNA from 10 species